rnacentral:rRNA from 1 species
AACGAACGCUGGCGGCAUGCCUAACACAUGCAAGUCGAACGUGAUCCGGAGCUUGCUCCGGUGAAAGUGGCGCACGGGUGAGUAACGCGUGGGAACCUGCCCAGAGGUAGGGAAUAACCGCGGGAAACUGCGGCUAAUACCCUAUAUUCCCUUCGGGGGAAAGAUUUAUCGCCUUUGGAUGGGCCCGCGUCGGAUUAGCUAGUUGGUGAGGUAACGGCUCACCAAGGCGACGAUCCGUAGCUGGUCUGAGAGGAUGAUCAGCCACACUGGGUCUGAGACACGGCCCAGACUCCUACGGGAGGCAGCAGUGGGGAAUAUUGGACAAUGGGCGCAAGCCUGAUCCAGCAAUGCCGCGUGAGUGAUGAAGGCCUUAGGGUUGUAAAGCUCUUUCGGCGGGGAAGAUGAUGACGGUACCCGCAGAAGAAGCCCCGGCUAACUUCGUGCCAGCAGCCGCAGUAAAAC